AGCCACAGCCAUAUCACCCUGCAGCCCAAGACUGGUUGCCCACUGAAGCUAAGCAGGGUUGAGCCUGGUCAGUACCUGGAUGGGAGACCUCCUGGGAAAACUAGGUUGCUGUUGGAN
rnacentral:rRNA from 1 species